rnacentral:rRNA from 1 species
UUGGUGCCUUCGGGAACUCUGAGACAGGUGCUGCAUGGCUGUCGUCAGCUCGUGUUGUGAAAUGUUGGGUUAAGUCCCGCAACGAGCGCAACCCUUAUCCUUGUUUGCCAGCACGUAAUGGUGGGAACUCCAGGGAGACUGCCGGUGAUAAACCGGAGGAAGGUGGGGACGACGUCAAGUCAUCAUGGCCCUUACGAGUAGGGCUACACACGUGCUACAAUGGCGCAUACAGAGGGCAGCCAACCAGCGAUGGUGAGCGAAUCCCAAAAAGUGCGUCGUAGUCCGGAUUGGAGUCUGCAACUCGACUCCAUGAAGUCGGAAUCGCUAGUAAUCGUGAAUCAGAAUGUCACGGUGAAUACGUUCCCGGGCCUUGUACACACCGCCCGUCACACCAUGGGAGUGGGCUGCAAAAGAAGUGGGUAGUUUAACCUUCGGGAGGACGCUCACCACUUUGUGGUUCAUGACUGGGGUGAAGUCGUAACAAGGUAGCCCUAGGGGAACCUGGGGCUGGAUCACCUCCUUAUACGAUGAU